AUGGAGGCCACGAUCAGCGUGAGGGUUAUCAGUGGAUUAUGGACAGAGAGUUCUCGAAGUUUAUUUACUGCCAGUACCGCCAGCAUAGAUCACAUGAAAGUCGCGUUGCUCGAUUUCGGAGGCGACGGAUUGCCUGUUGCCGCUGAUGGCAAGGUUCAGCUUUCGCGCCGUGUUGCUUCUGUCGAGCUUGCUGGUGAGCUAAGAGUCUCCGCUGAGGCUCAGUGUGAAGAUGAGACUUUGGCUUAUGUCAAAGUUUUUACACCAAGGAAGGCCAGUAGAAGCCAUGGUAUCCUCAACGUUGGAUCCUGUAAGAUGAAAGUCACGGUUGCCUGGUCUCUUUUCGACUGCGGCCCAUUUGGGUGA
rnacentral:rRNA from 1 species